CACGUAGGGCGCAAGCGUUGUCCGGAAUUAUUGGGCGUAAAGAGCUCGUAGGCGGUCUGUUGCGUCCGCUGUGAAAUCUCGGGGCUUAACCCCGAGCCUGCAGUGGAUACGGGCAGACUAGAGGUAGGUAGGGGAGAAUGGAAUUCCCGGUGUAGCGGUGAAAAUGCGCAGAUAUCGGGAGGAACACCGGUGGCGAAGGCGGUUCUCUGGGCCUUACCUGACGCUGAGGAGCGAAAGCGUGGGGAGCGAAACAGGG
rnacentral:rRNA from 1 species